rnacentral:rRNA from 1 species
GACGAACGCUGGCGGCGUGCUUAACACAUGCAAGUGGAGCGACGAACCAGGGCUUGCCCUGGGGCAGAGCCGCGAACGGGUGAGUAACACGUGGGUAACGUGCCCCGAUGACUGGGACAACCCGAGGAAACUCGGGCUAAUACCGGAUAUGCCCCCUCACGAGAGUGAAGUGUGUAAAGGAAGCUUCGGCCUCCGCAUCGGGAUCGGCCCGCGGCGCAUUAGCUUGUUGGUGGGGUAACGGCCACCAAGGCGACGAUGCGUAGCUGGUCUGAGAGGACGAUCAGCCACACUGGGACUGAGACACGGCCCAGACUCCUACGGGAGGCAGCAGUGGGGAAUCUUGCGCAAUGCGCGAAAGCGUGACGCAGCAACGCCGCGUGGGGAAGACGGCCUCGGU